AUUUAAGUAGUUUAAGUUUAAAAUAUUGAUUUGUGGUAUCAGUAAUAUAGAUUAUCUAUCUUAGGUU
rnacentral:tRNA from 1 species